rnacentral:tRNA from 1 species
GCUUGGUGGGCUCAGUCAGCAGAGCAUGUGACUCUUGAUCUGAGGGUCGUGGGUUCGAGCCCCACGCUGAGUG